rnacentral:rRNA from 1 species
GUGGGGGAUAUUGCACAAUGGGGGAAACCCUGAUGCAGCGACGCCGCGUGAAGGAAGACGUACUUCGGUAUGUAAACUUCUAUCAGCAGGGAAGAAGAUGACGGUACCUGACUAAGAAGCCCCGGCUAACUACGUGCCAGCAGCCGCGGUAAUACGUAGGGGGCAAGCGUUAUCCGGAUUUACUGGGUGUAAAGGGAGCGUAGACGGUGAAGCAAGUCUGAUGUGAAAACCCGGGGCUCAACUCCGGGAUUGCAUUGGAAACUGUUUUACUUGAGUGCUGGAGGGGCAAGCGGAAUUCCUGGUGUAGCGGUGAAAUGCGUAGAUAUCAGGAAGAACACCGGUGGCGAAGGCGGCUUGCUGGACAGUAACUGACGUUGAGGCUCGAAAGCGUGGGGAGCAAACAGGAUUAGAUACCCGGGUAGCC